rnacentral:lncRNA from 1 species
UAACAACUACCCACAGUGGGCAGCUUAGCACACUGCUCAGCAGGAAAUCACAUUGCAAAUGAUUUGUUUUAUUUUAGUCCUGUCAUCCCGGGUAGCUCUGCAUUGCUUUAUCUGAGCUUGCGAAACAGCCCUGAAUGUGAGCAGUCAGAAUCAAGUCAUGUUCUCACCCUUCAAUGCGCUUGGCACGUUUUCUUUCCGGACACAUCCAGUGGAUACUGUGCAGACCUUCUCCAGCUAAUCUCAGGAAGGCUGAAGUUUUUAGACGGCUACCCUUCAUAUUUAGGGAGAGAAUAUAACCAUGUGGAAAGUCUAGUCUUCAUGUGGAACAUCUGUUACGAAGAAAUUCUACUUGGAAAGCUUGUCUGCUCUAUUAACCCAUCCCUGUUGCUCACUUGGAAGAAGAGGGCCUUCACUUUCCACUGUAAGAAGAAGGUCUUCUGUUGCUCUGAACGCUUCUGUUUAGAGACCUUUCUUCACUGUCCCCAAGGGAUGUUUUCUAAGCCAAGUUCACCUACGAUCUCACACACGCGCUGUUGAGGUGUAAUGUUACAGACAUGGUGAUUUACAACGCAGAUAUAUUACCCCAGAUCCUCCAGGUGUUGGAGAAGGGCCCUCCUGACAACUUGAUUCCGUGUCUUCCUCUGUUGAAUUGGAUUUAUCUUACCUUCUUUCACUAAGCCCCCGGGGCUCUUUAUCUCUCAGCUCA